ACACUGAGAUGAAGAGCCAUUUGAAUUUGUUUAUGUAAUUAUUGAAGACAACGUAGGCUAUCCUACAAUAUACUUCACUAGCAACACCAAGCUAACUAAAGAAUUCAUAAGCUCACAAGAAUGAAUUCAACAAUCACAAAUUUAUAACCUGACAGUCCCAUCACAGUUAAGUUUCAAUCUAAUUAUACAGGGUAAACACAAAUUGAAAGGAAACUAUAUUUAUCUGAGAAUUACUCUAAUACUGCAAAUCGAGAAUACAAAUUUCUAAAUAGCAUUUUUAUUUCACCAUCUCGUUUCACAAAUUACAUCAGCUGGUGUUUCGAAUAUGUACCUGGAAACUGGAAAGGAACAGAAAGAAGGAGAGAAUAGCAAUAGUAGUAAACAACACCAACAACUGGAGUCCAAAUAACACCAACCACACCAGUUUUAGCCAAGAAAUACGUUUGACAACCCAAUAAUUUCGGAGAGGGACGGAAUCAAGAAAAUACAAUCACAAACCACUUGAACCCAUCAAAUAGACUCAAAGUUGAACCCAGGUGAUUCAAAUCAGCCUCAGCAGUAGAAACAAACAAAUAAUAACUCAAAUAGAUCCUAAUCUGAUUCCAAAGACCAAAUCAAAGUGAUUUCAGGACUUCAAUUACUAGAUACUGAACUAAAAUGGCAGCAAUUCAGGAAUAAUUCGACAAUCAACCAGCACAAACAACAGGAGCCAUUUUCUAAUCACAAACGAACUAUCAAACAACCAGAAACAACCUAGUCCUCGAAAAUCAACAAACUAGUCCCAAAAUAGACUGAUUGAACCCAGAAUCCACUUGAAAAACCUACUAGAAAUUUCUGUUUUCACUUCAGUCCUUGUUUUAUUUCAGAUUAGUCCUCCUAUUUUUGACUUGUUUAUCAAGUAAGUGCACUACAAUUGCUGAAGUCUGCACUAGGGUUCUUGACCGUUUUUGAUUUUGCACUUUCGAGGAUAUCAGUCACAACUUGACGCCAGUUGUUGAUGGAUUAAUGAUGAGGAGACGGGGAGGCUUAGUGGUGUGAAUUUGGUCCAGAUUGGGAAGCGUCGCCGCGGUGGACGGCAGAGACGGCGGCAAUUCUUUCAAUUAUUCGACGCCGUCCAGUGGGAUUCGAGAGAUGAUAAUGGGAUAUUUGUGAUGAGGGCAUUGAGGCGGUUUCAGGGUGUAAAUUUGAGAGCCACCGGAGAUGGUGACGUUUUCUCCGGUGGUGGCUGGUGGUGGAGGCUCUUCAGGGAAAGGUUUUACGAGGAAGAGAUACAUGUUUUUUUAGGGUUAUACACGAAAUUCCGACAACUUUGUUAUAAUGACAAAACCAAUUGAGACCGUUGGAUCAAGGAGAUUUGAUGGCCCAGAUUAAAGGGACAUGAAACAGCAUCGUUUGGAGUCAUUUGGAAGCCGGACCGAAUUUCGGGGAAAUUGGGCC
rnacentral:lncRNA from 1 species